GGCUGGAUGGCCGAGCGGUCUAAGGCGGUAGACUCAAGAUUCAGUUCUUCCACAGAAAUGUGGGUGCUUUCUACUCUCGAAAGAGGCGCGCGUUCGAAUCGCGCUUCAGUCA